ACGAACGCUGGCGGCAUGCUUAACACAUGCAAGUCGAACGGAGAGCAGUUUACUGUUCUUAGUGGCAAACGGGUGAGUAACGCGUGGGAAUCUACCUCUUGGUGGGGAAUAACUAAGGGAAACUUUAGCUAAUACCGCAUGUGUUUGGAAACAAAUAAAGAUUUAUCGCCAAGAGAUGAGCCCGCGUCAGAUUAGGUAGUUGGUGGGGUAAAGGCCUACCAAGCCUUUGAUCUGUAGCUGGUCUGAGAGGAUGGUCAGCCACACUGGGAUUGAGAUACGGCCCAGACUCCUACGGGAGGCAGCAGUGAGGAAUAUUGGACAAUGGGGGAAACCCUGAUCCAGCAAUGCCGCGUGAAUGAAGAAGGCUUUAGGGUUGUAAAGUUCUUUCACUCGCGAAGAUAAUGACGGUAGCGAGGUAAGAAGCCCCGGCUAACUCUGU
rnacentral:rRNA from 1 species